rnacentral:rRNA from 1 species
ACGGGAGGCAGCAGUGGGGAAUAUUGGGCAAUGGGCGAAAGCCUGACCCAGCAACGCCGCGUGAAGGAAGAAGGCCUUCGGGUUGUAAACUUCUUUUACCAGGGACGAAAAAAGUGACGGUACCUGGAGAAAAAGCAACGGCUAACUACGUGCCAGCAGCCGCGGUAAUACGUAGGGGGCAAGCGUUAUCCGGAUUUACUGGGUGUAAAGGGAGCGUAGACGGCAUGGCAAGUCUGAUGUGAAAACCCGGGGCUCAACCCCGGGACUGCAUUGGAAACUGUCAGGCUUGAGUGCAGGAGAGGUAAGUGGAAUUCCUAGUGUAGCGGUGAAAUGCGUAGAUAUUAGGAGGAACACCAGUGGCGAAGGCGGCUUACUGGACUGUAACUGACGUUGAGGCUCGAAAGCGUGGGGAGCAAACAGGAUUAGAUACCCUGGUA